rnacentral:rRNA from 1 species
GAUGAACGCUGGCGGCGUGCCUAAUACAUGCAAGUCGAGCGAAUGGAUUAAGAGCUUGCUCUUAUGAUGUUAGCGGCGGACGGGUGAGUAACACGUGGGUAACCUGCCCAUAAGACUGGGAUAGCUCCGGGAAACCGGGGCUAAUACCGGAUAACAUUUUGAACCGCAUGGUUCGAAAUUGAAAGGCGGCUUCGGCUGUCACUUAUGGAUGGACCCGCGUCGCAUUAGCUAGUUGGGGAGGUAACGGCUCACCAAGGCAACGAUGCGUAGCCGGCCUGGGAGGGUGAUCGGCCACACGGGGACUGAGACACGGCCCAGACUCCUACGGGAGGAAGCAGUAGGGAAUCUUCCGCAAUGGACGAAAGUCUGACGGAGCAACGCCGCGUGAGUGAUGAAGGCUUUCGGGUCGUAAAACUCUGUUGUUAGGGAAGAACAAGUGCUAGUUGAAUAAGCUGACACCUUGACGGUACCUAACCAGAAAGCCACGGCUAACUACGUGCCAGCAGCCGCCGCUG